rnacentral:tRNA from 1 species
GCCAAGAUGGCUCAGUCGGUAGAGCGACACACUCGUAAUGUGUAGGUCCCGGGUUCGAUUCCCGGUCUUGGCUCAA